GUCUGAUAUGAAAUAUUGUUCUAAUUGUAUACAUGGUUAUGAUGGUAUUUGUUCUUUUGUUAGAUUUAAAACAUAAACAAAGUGCAACAUUAAUAUUGUUUUGAAUUAUUCUACUAAAUAAGUGUUUAGAUUGGUGAUCCAUUCUUUGAAGAUAUAAAAUCUUGCUCAUAAUAAAAAAAAAACCUUAGUAAGACUCCUCGACAAUCGAACUCUUAAGGGGGCUCUCGGGUCUAAAUCAAUUUUUUUAAAUAUAGAUUUCGCUAUUUUAUUUCUUUAAAUAAACUUUAUCCUAUACUUAAUAGAAAAUUAAAUAAAAAUAUUGGGUCACCGUUCAUUUAAGCUCACAAUCUGCCUUUGAAAGAAGUAUGCAUUUUUGUUAAGGUACCUUUUUUCUGUCGAACUAAUAGGAGAAAAAAAGGUAAAAUCAACAUAAAAAAAUAACUAAAGUACAGAAAUCGCAUAAAUUUUACAAAUGUCUAGGUUUUUUUUCAGUACAGUUCAAUUAAAAAAAUAAUCAAAAAUAUGGGUCACCAAUGAGUUAAAAAAAAGUUAUUUCAAUUUUUA
rnacentral:lncRNA from 1 species